UACAGAGGUGGCAAGCGUUGUUCGGAAUUACUGGGCGUAAAGGGCGCGUAGGCGGCCGCCUAAGUCAGACGUGAAAUCCCCAGGCUUAACCUGGGAACUGCGUCUGAUACUGGGUGUCUCGAGUCCGGAAGAGGUGAGUGGAAUUCCGAGUGUAGAGGUGAAAUUCGUAGAUAUUCGGAGGAACACCAGUGGCGAAAGCGGCUACCUGGCCCAUUCUUGACGCUGAG
rnacentral:rRNA from 1 species